rnacentral:lncRNA from 1 species
ACAUGCCUGCCAAUUAAUAUGUGGCCUUCCAGAAAUUUUGACCAUCACAAGCACAAUACGCAGGAAACGCAGAGGUGCAGCAAUGCGUUGCUGUGACAGCGAGGUUCUGGAUAUGGAGAAAGUUGGCCAGCAUCUGCCCUUUUCCUCCAGGCACUGCAUUCUCCUGGAGGGCCCCAACUUGUUGUCCAUCCUUCCUAUUUCACUGAACUGUCAGGACUCACAAGUACAUGCCCAAAAGUACCGAAAACAGGGACUCAAGCAGAUAUUUGUACACCCGUGUUUGCAACAGCAUUACUCACAAGAGCCAAAACAUAGAAGCAACCCGAGUGUCCAUCAAUGGAUG